rnacentral:rRNA from 1 species
CGGGUGAGUAACGCGUAAGUAAUCUAUCCCUGCAUCUGGGAUAACUACGGGAAACUGUAGCUAAUACCGGAUACGUUUAUCAUCUUGCGAGAUGAUAAAGAAAGGUGGCCUCUUCUUGAAAGCUACUGUGCGAGGAGGAGCUUGCGUACCAUUAGCUUGUUGGUGGGGUAAUGGCCUACCAAGGCAACGAUGGUUAGCGGGUCUGAGAGGAUGAUCCGCCACACUGGAACUGGAACACGGACCAGACUCC